rnacentral:rRNA from 1 species
UACGUAGGGUCCGAGCGUUGUCCGGAAUUAUUGGGCGUAAAGGGCUCGUAGGCGGUCCGUCACGUCGGGAGUGAAAACUCAGGGCUCAACCCUGAGCGUGCUUCCGAUACGGGUGGACUAGAGGUAUGCAGGGGAGAACGGAAUUCCUGGUGUAGCGGUGGAAUGCGCAGAUAUCAGGAGGAACACCGGUGGCGAAGGCGGUUCUCUGGGCAUUACCUGACGCUGAGGAGCGAAAGCAUGGGGAGCGAACAGG